UACGUAGGGUGCGAGCGUUGUCCGGAAUUACUGGGCGUAAAGAGCUCGUAGGCGGUUUGUCGCGUCGUCCGUGAAAAACUUGGGGGCUCAACCCCCAAGCUUGCGGGCGAUACGGGCAGACUUGAGUACUGCAGGGGAGACUGGAAUUCCUGGUGUAGCGGUGAAAUGCGCAGAUAUCAGGAGGAACACCGGUGGCGAAGGCGGGUCUCUGGGCAGUAACUGACGCUGAGGAGCGAAAGCGUGGGGAGCGAACAGG
rnacentral:rRNA from 1 species